rnacentral:rRNA from 1 species
UACGGGGGGGGGCAAGCGUUGUUCGGAAUUACUGGGCGUAAAGGGCGCGUAGGCGGCCUGCUAAGUCACACGUGAAAUCCCUCGGCUCAACCGGGGAACUGCGUGUGAUACUGGCGGGCUUGAAUUCGGGAGAGGGAUGUGGAAUUCCAGGUGUAGCGGUGAAAUGCGUAGAGAUGUGGAGGAACACCGACGGCGAAGGCAGCCUCCUGGGCCAGCACUGACGCUCAUGCACGAAAGCGUGGGGAGCAAACAGG